UGGCUGAGCUGACUUUCACACUACUGGGUUUACACUCAGAAAAACACACUCCACACACAGGAAGUGUGCCAUACAGAAGGUAAUGCAGUCAGAAAUGGAUGUUUUCCAUUAUUUCAAGACAAACGAUUUUAGCCCCUUUAAAAGUUAUACAACAUUCACUGGCAACUCCUAAAAACAGGUAGAACAGUGUCAAAAUUUGGGCAAUAAUAAAAGAAAAUGUUGUUUAAGGAAAUUGGUUUUAUGUGAUAAAUUGGUGAAGUGCAACCAAAGUCAUAAAUACUCUAAAAUUAAUAUUUAAAACAUGUUAUUUGACUUAACCCAAAAAAAUCUGCUUUACCCACAGUUAAAAAUGAGAAAAUAAUAAGAAUGUAACAUUCAUCCUCUAAAGAAUCACAAGGAAAAACAUACAUUUUUCCAUUUUCUGCCCAUUGGUAGCACUCUUAUGCAAUCGCUCUCUCAGCCCAACAGUUGAAGAAGUUGGUCUACUUCAGCAUUUUCUUUAGCUGAUUAAAUUCAAACACGCUCUACGCUGUGGUCCACUUCAAAAUAGGUUUAAAACAUAACUGGCUUUUUUUUUAAAAACUCCAGUUUGUUGACCAGUUUGUGUGCGGAUCUAGAGCUGAAGGUCGAGGCAAUGAAUCACUGUCAGUGAACAGAAUCCAGCUGUAUAGUUUUCCUCGUGUAAGAGAGCAGAGUGGAAAUCCAGUCUUUUGAUAACUGAUUUCUCCUGAAAGCAAACUGGUGUCGGCCAGAAGAGGGUAAGAUGGAGUUCUCGUGUAACAAGAUAAGUAGCACAAAAAAAAAAAAAGUUCAGUUAACAGUGUGAAGGCCAUGUCCCACAGCCACUACUUAAAUAAUGCAUAAUGCACAGAUGAAGGUGAAGUUUUGGGACAACAUGACAAUGAAAAUAUUCUACUUUUCUUAUAAAAAGUUACCUAUAUAUGUAACAGUCAGAGGCAGGGAAGAACCACAAAGUCCCAAGAAUUCACUAACAAAAUACAUAAUUAUUGGUUCAUUUCUGCAGAGAACCAAGUAUGACAACAGGCUGAGCCAACACUGAAGACUGAGGGAUAGUCACCUUAAUUCUGUGUGGAUAAUUAGUAAAGUACAGGCAGCUGUGACUGCUCCACAGGAUUCACAUGUGAGUGGGCGGAGUCACAGUCAGUCUGCACAGAAACCUAAGAAAAGACAAAUCCUGAACAAUAUUUAUCUCGGCCUCCAGAGGGGAAACCUUCCGGCGGGCUUCGUCCUCCUGCUUUCUCUGUCGGAUCAGCUGUUCUCUCUUCCGGGACUCCAGAACUCUCUGCAGCUCUGGCUUCGUCUCCACACUCGCCCCACUUCUGCACAAACACACACAUUGUGUAAUCAGGUGGGGGGAUCCCGCCGGAGAGCGGAGCCCCCCUCCGCUGGAGGCUCUCUGAGCGGUGCUGCUGCAGCUCUGCAUGUGCCGAGGCUGAGGACAGGAGGACAGAAGACAGAGCCAUGAAGAUGUCAAGAAUCUGAGAUGAAACUUCCUUCUCCUUAAACAUUCGCUCUCUAAAUCCAGGUCUUCAGCACACACUGUUCCAUGUGUUUUCUAACCAAUCCUGCCUAAACACAGCUAUGACUAUUAUCAUAAAGCCUCUACAAAGGUCGAUGAUGAUCUUAAUGAUGUGUGUCUGAGCUCUGGAAACAUGCAGGACAGUGAGCAUUGGGAAACACUGCCAGAGGACAGAUUAUUGGCUAUGUGAUCUUCUCCCUCAGAUAUUCUGGGAGGCAGAUCGAAUGUCUCAAGUCAUUUUCACACAAUAACUCCUUUCCUCUGUGGUGCAACCAGAGACCCACAUACACGCCUGCGUCAUAUUUCGGAAAAAUGAAAUGAGCUGCUGCAGGACUUAACUGCUUUGUUCGGAGGUCAGUCAUGCUAAAAGGAUUUAGGCCUUAUUGCAAUUUUUAUAAUCACACACAAAAACAACUUCUCUAAAUUAUAUUACGGGGGAAAGUUGACCCAAU